rnacentral:rRNA from 1 species
UACAGAGGGUGCAAACGUUGCUCGGAAUCACUGGGCGUAAAGCGCACGUAGGCGGCUCUUUAAGUCAGGGGUGAAAUCCUGGAGCUCAACUCCAGAACUGCCUUUGAUACUGAGGGGCUCGAGUCCGGGAGAGGUGAGUGGAACUGCGAGUGUAGAGGUGAAAUUCGUAGAUAUUCGCAAGAACACCAGUGGCGAAGGCGGCUCACUGGCCCGGUACUGACGCUGAGGUGCGAAAGCGUGGGGAGCAAACAGG